rnacentral:rRNA from 1 species
AGGACGAACGCUGGCGGCGUGCUUAACACAUGCAAGUCGAGCGGAGAGGCCCUUUCGGGGGUACUCGAGCGGCGAACGGGUGAGUAACACGUGAGUAAUCUGCCCCUCACUUUGGGAUAGCCACCGGAAACGGUGAUUAAUACCGGAUAUGACGCGGCCUCGCAUGGGGUUGUGUGGAAAGUUUUUCGGUGAGGGAUGUGCUCGCGGCCUAUCAGCUUGAUGGUGAGGUAAUGGCUCACCAUGGCUUCGACGGGUAGCCGGCCUGAGAGGGUGACCGGUCACGACUGGGACUGAGACACGGCCCAGACUCCGUAGGGAGCAGGCAGGUGGGAAUACGUUGGAACAAGUGGGCGAAGCCUGACUCCAGCGAACGCCG